AAAAAAGAUCCUCCAAGCAGAAUUGUAUAGUUUAUUAGAUGAACACAAAUGGAAUUAAGCCUUCCUUUCAUUCAAUAUUCAUAAAUUGUACUCAUAACACUUUCUGACUCCUCAGGACAGGAGGCAGUUAAUAAAACAAUAGGCUACAUUUAAGACAUUCAGUUCCUUACAACAAGACAUCUCUUUGGAUCUCUAGUUUUUCAACAACAGUUUUUCUCGGUACAGUAACUGGAAUUGUCGUUCCACCCUUCUUAAUACAGUGAUGUUUAUUUGUUUAAUGACUACUCGUACAAUGGAUGGAUAAUACUAUAAUAAUAUAGCACUCAUGACUCACAUUGGUUCUAGGAGAUGCCUCAUUAUUUUGUUUGACAAAUUGUAUAGCUUAUUAGAUGAACACAAAUGGAAUUAAGCCUUCCUUUCAUUCAAUAUUCAUAAAUUGUACUCAUAACACUUUCUGACUCCUCAGGACAGGAGGCAGUUAAUAAAACAAUAGGCUACAUUUAAG
ensembl:lncRNA